rnacentral:rRNA from 1 species
AACGUAGGGGGCGAGCGUUGUUCGGAAUUACUGGGCGUAAAGCGCGUGUAGGCGGAAGCUUAAGUCAGAUGUGAAACCUCGGGGCUUAACCCCGAGCCUGCAUCUGAAACUGGGUUUCUUGAGGGCGGGAGAGGAAAGUGGAAUUCCUAGUGUAGCGGUGAUAUGCGUAGAUAUUAGGAGGAACACCAGUGGCGAAGGCGACUUUCUGGACCGCACCUGACGCUGAGAUGCGAAAGCGUGGGGAGCAAACAGG